AGACCCGAAACCCGGUGAUCUAGCCAUGGGCAGGUUGAAGGUUGGGUAACACUAACUGGAGGACCGAACCGACUAAUGUUGAAAAAUUAGCGGAUGACCUGUGGCUGGGGGUGAAAGGCCAAUCAAACCGGGAGAUAGCUGGUUCUCCCCGAAAGCUAUUUAGGUAGCGCCUCGUGAAUUCAUCUCCGGGGGUAGAGCACUGUUUCGGCUAGGGGGCCAUCCCGGCUUACCAACCCGAUGCAAACUGCGAAUACCGGAGAAUGUUAUCACGGGAGACACACGGCGGGUGCUAACGUCCGUCGUGAAGAGGGAAACAACCCAGACCGCCAGCUAAGGUCCCAAAGUCAUGGUUAAGUGGGAAACGAUGUGGGAAGGCCCAGACAGCCAGGAUGUUGGCUUAGAAGCAGCCAUCAUUUAAAGAAAGCGUAAUAGCUCACUGGUCGAGUCGGCCUGCGCGGAAGAUGUAACGGGGCUAAACCAUGCACCGAAGCUGCGGCAGCGACACUCAGGUGUUGUUGGGUAGGGGAGCGUUCUGUAAGCCUGCGAAGGUGGCCUGUGAGGGUUGCUGGAGGUAUCAGAAGUGCGAAUGCUGACAUAAGUAACGAUAAAGCGGGUGAAAAGCCCGCUCGCCGGAAGACCAAGGGUUCCUGUCCAACGUUAAUCGGGGCAGGGUGAGUCGACCCCUAAGGCGAGGCCGAAAGGCGUAGUCGAUGGGAAACGGGUUAAUAUUCCCGUAC
rnacentral:rRNA from 1 species